AAGUUCAGCAAGCGAAAGCCUGUUGACAGUCGCCCUUCGUUCAUCUCUCGAACAGUGUCGUCACUAUUUCAUUUCAGUUAACAGCCGACUAACUUUGAAAUUCAUGCGAAUAGUAAAUAAGGAAGGAUAAGUAAAAUAUGGGACAAACAGCUAAAUUUACUGCAGAUAAACACAUUUUGCUUCAGGAGAUAUGAAUAAACACGAUUGCUUUAAUCGGUGCUUUAUGUUUUCGAUUGAUUAACUCAAGAUACGAAUGCAGUACGAAUGGUACUUUGUCUAUGUACUGUGCUGGACAGAUAUAAAGUGAGCUAGGUAGUGUGAGAAAUGUCGGAACAUGGUGAAGGCGGUAGUGAUCAUGAGCUUGACCUGCCCUUGUCAGCUAACAUUUGUGAUGUCAGGGUGUCUCACUUUCUCCUCCAUCUCAAGUGUGAUGUGGAAUCUAGAAAGUUGUCAGGUGACAUCACACUAUUCUAUCAACAGGAAAGCUUUAAACAAGCCUGUAAACGUAGGACUGUAUUACAAACCGAUACUGAACUAAAGGCUGUGGAAACUAGCUGUGAAAGCCAUUCCCAACUUCUUCAGGCAAAAACUGACCCAAGCCCAUCAUCUGGACAUGAUCCUGCACCAAAUGAACUGUGUCAACAUGAGUGUGUUUGUAAAGAAACUGAAAAUUGCUCAAAGACUAUGAACAUACAUAAAGAUGAUUGUGUUGUUGAUCAGCCUUCAUCAAGCGUACACAGUAGAAGUACAUUAGCUCAGUGUUCAGAUCAGAAUGUUCUUCAACCUGUUUCUGCUUCAACUGAAACAGAAACUAAAAAUUCAUCACUAAAUAUUCCUAGUCCUAGCCAGGAUGCAGUCAAUAUGGUAUUAGAUGCUUAUAGCCUUGAUGUGACCUGUGCAGAGGAGCUGAUACUGUCACCUAAUCUGGAAAGAAAGCUGUUCUUCGCCAAACGAGGAGAUGUAGAAAGUGCAUCUGGUAUUUAUAUGCAGUGUUACAUGCAAUCCAAAACCAGACCGUUGCAAAUCAGUGUCAGUAAACAGAGCAUCCGACUAUGGGGCGGAGGAGGAGACAUGGAUGAAGAUUGUCAGUCUCGGACAGGGCCUGGUGAGAGCAGGCUUCACCAUCUGCAAGGAGAUGUCAUUAGUGAAGGUGAGCUACAGCCUACAGACAGUGAUGCUGACAUGAAGUGUGCUUCACUAGAGUCUGGUGGAGAUGGAGGGGCACCAGGGGAUCUAGUUUGCAAAAGAACAUGGGGAGGAAACAAAGUGAAUGCUGGACAUCAUGUAUGUGACGGGGGUCAAAUAUACACAAACAACGGAGUGACAAGAGUCGUGAGGAUACACUACAGUACAGAAGGAGGGCCAUCACUGAAGUGGUCUCUGGAUCAAGAUGGAAGGGAGUGUAUGUUCACUGUUGGUCACUGGCUGAACAACCGCUCCUGGUUCCCCAGUCAGGACGCCCCGACUGCCAUGUCCACCUGGCAAGCUUGUGUCACAGUCAAGGAGGGACUGACUGUGCUGAUGACUGGAGACAAGUCCUGUACACCAUCAGUAUCCCAGGGUUGGAAGACCUACUAUUAUUACAGUACAAUGCCAAUGCCCACCUCCACUCUAGCGAUAGCUGUUGGGACUUGGACACAGGUGGAUGUCGUACUGGAGCAAGAUGUGCAAAAGUCAAGUCAGUCAGCAUGUACCAGCCAUGGCCCAACAUGUCCUGUUAACUAUGCUGUGGGACCGGAAGUGCCAUGCCGUGUGUUUGUCUCUGAGUGCAUGGUGCCCUUAGUUCAGCAGGAGCUGGCAGUAUAUGUCCCUCGGUGCCUGAGAGAAGUGUAUGCCAUUCUUGGUCCCCACCCCUUCCAGAGGCUCGACAUCCUCGUUGUCCCGUGUUGCUUUGACAGUCUAGGCAUGGCGAGUCCCAGCCUGUUGGUGCUGUCCCAGUCUGUACUGGUGGGAGACAACUCCAUGUGUUUCCGGGUGGCCCAUGAGAUCUGCCACUCAUGGUUCGGGCUUCUGAUUGGGCCACAAGAUUGGACGGAGGAGUGGCUGACAGAGGGCUUCUGUACAUACCUAGAGGAUAUCAUUCAUGCCAGGGUGUGCCAGUGGGGUGAAGCUGAGAUACGGAAUCGACUGGAGCUACGAGUGUUGCUGAAGCAGAAGACUCUUUUGGCAGAGGUUGAGAACACAGAACAGGACCUCCAGAUGCUCAGGCCAAACAAAGGGGAGCAACUCCUAGCAGCCACUGAGGAGGUUCAGUAUGUGAAGAACGGGAUGAACCCAGACAAGGCCUUCAUGCAAGUGCAUUACCUCAAGGGUUUCUUUUUGUUGCGUCACCUACAGAACAAAGUUGGACUGACAGAGUUCCUGAUCUUUCUCCGCCAUUAUGUGGAUCAGUUCCAUGCCAAGCUUGUUACCUCAAAGGACUUCUUCCAGUUCUUCUUCAAGGAAUUCCCCGAGCUGAGGAUGUAUCUGAGUAUUGCCCCAGCCAAGAAAACAUUCUAUACAGAGCUGUGAAGACACAGGUUGCUCUGGUGGAGUCUCACUGUCAGGGGAUGGCACACUGCCACAGGAAGAAGAAGCAGAAAGUAUCUCCCACAGAACUUACUCUGCAGAAGCUUGACCCUGACCAGCUUGUGCUGUUUCUUGAGAACCUUCUGCAGCU
rnacentral:misc_RNA from 1 species